UCCACUUAGAUUUUCGUAAAGGGUGGCAAGUGUUUGGUAGUAGUCUUCUUUACACCGUUGCUGGUUUUUAGAUGAAGGCAAUACAGUGCAGGACCACAAGAGCUGCAAUGAAACACGUUUACCUUGAGUUCUCAGGGACUGCCUCUCCCCAUAUGAACUGACCCAGACCCUGCAAUCAUCAUCUGAGGCCCUUAUUUCUGUGCCACCUCCACAAGAGCUCCAGAGGGCAGCAACACAAGAACAGGCCUUUUCUGCGGUGACUCCACAUUUGUGGAAUGCACUCCCUAGGGAGGCUCACUUGGCACCUUGGUUACAUAUCUUUAGGAGCCAAGUGAAAACUUUCCACUUUCCCAGGCCUUUGGCUAAUUGAGCAAUGUUUGGCCUUUUAAACUCUGGCGGGUAUUGUUUUUGUUACGUAUUUUUGUGUUUUUACAUUGUAAACUGCCCUGUGAUCCUUGGAUGAAAGGCAGUAUAGAGAUUAAAUAAAUACAUAGUUACUUCUUUGCUAUGAUCUGGAACCAGUUUUAAAUAUCAGGGACCAGUGCUGGAACAAAUCAUGUGCUGGUAACAGUGAAAGAGGACUCUGUAGCAUAUGCAAAGUUUGUAUAUCACUUUGUGCACCUCAGAAGACUCAGAGGAUGUCUUUAGCACUUUUUCUGUCUCUCUCUUUUU